GUUUUAAUAGUUUAUUUAAAAAUAUUGAUUUUGUAAAUCAAAGAAAAAUUGAAAUUUUUAAAACU
rnacentral:tRNA from 1 species